rnacentral:rRNA from 1 species
CAGUAGCCACGGUAAUACGGAGGGUGCAAGCGUUAAUCGGAAUUACUGGGCGUAAAGCGCACGCAGGCGGUCUGACAAGUCAGAUGUGAAAUCCCCGGGCUUAACCUGGGAACUGCAUUUGAAACUGUCAGGCUGGAGUCUUGUAGAGGGGGGUGGAAUUCCAGGUGUAGCGGUGAAAUGCGUAGAGAUCUGGAGGAAUACCGGUGGCGAAGGCGGCCCCCUGGACAAAGACUGACGCUCAGGUGCGAAAGCGUGGGGAGCAAACAGGAUUAGAGACCCCGUGUAGUCCCUGUCUCUUAUA